rnacentral:rRNA from 1 species
ACGGGGAGCAGCCCAGAGCCUGAAUCAGUGUGUGUGUUAGUGGAAGCGUCUGGAAAGGCGUGCGAUACAGGGUGACAGCCCCGUACACAAAAAUGCACAUAUUGUGAGCUUGAUGAGUAGGGCGGGACACGUGGUAUCCUGUCUGAAUAUGGGGGGACCAUCCUCCAAGGCUAAAUACUCCUGACUGACCGAUAGUGAACCAGUACCGUGAGGGAAAGGCGAAAAGAACCCCGGCGAGGGGAGUGAAAAAGAACCUGAAACCGUGUACGUACAAGCAGUGGGAGCACGCUUAGGCGUGUGACUGCGUACCUUUUGUAUAAUGGGUCAGCGACUUAUAUUCUGUAGCAAGGUUAACCGAAUAGGGGAGCCGAAGGGAAACCGAGUCUUAACUGGGCGUUAAGUUGCAGGGUAUAGACCCGAAACCCGGUGAUCUAGCCAUGGGCAGGUUGAAGGUUGGGUAACACUAACUGGAGGACCGAACCGACUAAUGUUGAAAAAUUAGCGGAUGACUUGUGGCUGGGGGUGAAAGGCCAAUCAAACCGGGAGAUAGCUGGUUCUCCCCGAAAGCUAUUUAGGUAGCGCCUCGUGAAUUCAUCUCCGGGGGUAGAGCACUGUUUCGGCAAGGGGGUCAUCCCGACUUACCAACCCGAUGCAAACUGCGAAUACCGGAGAAUGUUAUCACGGGAGACACACGGCGGGUGCUAACGUCCGUCGUGAAGAGGGAAACAACCCAGACCGCCAGCUAAGGUCCCAAAGUCAUGGUUAAGUGGGAAACGAUGUGGGAAGGCCCAGACAGCCAGGAUGUUGGCUUAGAAGCAGCCAUCAUUUAAAGAAAGCGUAAUAGCUCACUGGUCGAGUCGGCCUGCGCGGAAGAUGUAACGGGGCUAAACCAU